AAGUCGUAACAAGGUUUCCGUAGGUGAACCUGCGGAAGGAUCAUUAUCGAAAUCAUCACACGGAGUUGGAUGUUCACUCUCUCUCGUUGUUGCUGGCCCUUUCACGAGGCAUAUGUGCACACAAGAGUCUUCAGUGAGCCUCUCCAACUUCUGAUUUCUCCACACACACACACACCUGUGAACACAUGUGGAACGAAGGGGGGGAGAGGCUGGAUAACGGCCUUUCUUUUUCUGACCUCCAUCUUUUUAAAUUCACACACGCUUGUAAAACUCGAGAUGUACUAUUUGUAAUGAAAUAAAACAACUUUCAACAACGGAUCUCUUGGCUCUC
rnacentral:misc_RNA from 1 species